AAUAGAUACCCCGGUAGUCCACGCCGUAAACGAUGGAUGCUAGCUGUUAGGAGUAUCGACCCUUCUAGUAGCGAAGCUAACGCGUUAAGCAUCCCGCCUGGGGAGUACGGUCGCAAGAUUAAAACUCAAAGGAAUUGACGGGGACCCGCACAAGUGGUGGAGCGUGUUCUUUAAUUCGACGAUAAGCGAAGAACCUUACCAGGGCUUGACAUCCUUGGAAUUUCUGCGAAAGCAGAGAGUACUUUAUUGGACCAAGUGACAGGUGUUGCAUGGCCGUCGUCAGCUCGUGUCGUGAGAUGUUAGGUUAAGUCCUUCAACGAGCGCAACCCUUAUGUUUAGUUGGAUUUUUUCUAAACAGACUGCCCCGGUAACGGGGAGGAAGGAGGGGAUGAUGUCAGGUCAUUAUUACCCUUACGUCCUGGGCUAGAAACGCGCUACAAUGGCCGGUACAAAGGGCAGCCAACCCGCGAGGGGGAGCAAAUCCCAUCAAAACCGGUCCCAGUUCGGAUUGCAGGCUGAAACUCGCCUGCAUGAAGCCGGAAUCACUAGUAAUCGUAGGUC
rnacentral:rRNA from 1 species